CUUUUUAGAUGCUUCAAAGACAGCAAUCUAGGCAAUGUAUUUUGAUGCAUCACUAACUUUCUUCACAACUUUUAAAAAAUUUUGGUUAAUUGAAUCACUGUUUCAAAACCACUGAGUACUGAUACUGUGCCAGACAAUAUUUACUGCGCUACUCCGUAUUCUUGUUUUUUAACUCAGUCUUUUCUCACUCUCCUCUUCCUCCUUUUCCUUCUAUCUCUGAGACCUCUUACUUUUUAAAAUUUUUUAAUUAAAAAAAAAUUUUAGGAGUUCCUGUCGUGGCGCAGUGGUUAACGAAUCUGACUAGGAACCAUGAGGUUUCAGGUUCGAUCCCUGGCCUUGCUCCGUGGUUGAAGGAUCUGGUGUUGCUGUGAGCUGUGGUGUAGGCCGGCGACUACAGCUCCUAUUCGACCCCUAGCCUGGGAACCUCAAUAUGCCACAGGAAGUGGUCCUAGAAAAGGAAAAAAGACCAAAAAAAAAAAAAAAUUUUUUUUAAUGGCCACACCUACAACAUAUGGAAGUUCCCAGGAUCCUUUUAACCCACUGAUCCAGGCUGGAGAUCAAACCUGUGCCUCUGCAGCCACGCAAGCUGCUGCAGUUGGAUUCUUAACCAACUGUACCACAGAGGGAACUCCCUGAGAACGCUUAAAUUUUCCUCCUCAGAUUUGUCUUGAAUUUUUCCUUUAGUUUUCCUUCAUUAUAUGGAUGUGAAAAUUUCCCACAAAAUCUAUUUUCCUCCCUGUUUCAACCCUCUUAGGAAUAAAUGUCCUUUGAUUGAAAAGUCGAAAAUAUCCACGAAUUUUAAACGGAAUUUCUGUCCACUUUCAGAACCACCUUACAUUUCCUAUUCGAAGAACUAACAGAAGCAAAGCAGCUCAGCUAAGAGUGAAAUAAUUUCAGCGACUAUGAAAAUUUGCAGAAAAGUGUGGCCAACAGAAAGUGUUCAUUCUCUGUGUUUACAUUGGCACCGAUCUUAAAGGCAUGGCAUUAACUCAACAUAAAG
rnacentral:lncRNA from 9 species